rnacentral:sRNA from 1 species
CUAAAUAAACUGCCGAAUCCUGCCACAAGGCAGGUACGGGGGAACUGUGCGAAAGACUGUCGCGACAGUCUAUUUUGCUUGGGGUGAAGGCGGACAAGCCCGGGUAAAUCCUCUUAUCCGAACCCGACAACUAACCUCGGAGGCUUUGGGAGGAAUG